CAGUAGCCGCGGGAAUACGGAGGGUGCAAGCGUUAAUCGGAAUUACUGGGCGUAAAGCGCACGCAGGCGGUCUGUCAAGUCAGAUGUGAAAUCCCCGGGCUUAACCUGGGAACUGCAUUUGAAACUGGCAGGCUAGAGUCUUGUAGAGGGGGGUAGAAUUCCAGGUGUAGCGGUGAAAUGCGUAGAGAUCUGGAGGAAUACCGGUGGCGAAGGCGGCCCCCUGGACAAAGACUGACGCUUAGGUGCGAAAGCGUGGGGAGCAAACAGGAUUAGAUACCCCGGUAGUCCCUGUCUCUUAUAA
rnacentral:rRNA from 1 species